AAUACCUUGGGACUAGGAAAUUCUGACUUUAUUAUGUACCAAGCAACCUUAAGUUGUACCAUGGUUAAUUAAAUUGUAUUUAAGGCAUUUCACACUUGACUUAUUUAUGCAGUGACACCGCGGUAAAGGUAAAUGACUGAUACAGUUCCUCUACCUAAGGAUCAAAUUAUAUGGCUGUGUUUAGGUCUGCUGUUUUUCAUUUGCAACUUUUUUUUUUUUUUUGGUAAAUGGGCUAUGUUCCAGUCUGCAUGAGGAAGAAGGGGCAUAAUUUCUUUCUUUGCCUACUGCUCCUACAUUUCCAUUAACCCUCUAACUGGAGUGUCUCCUGUUUGGUACCAAG
rnacentral:lncRNA from 1 species